rnacentral:rRNA from 1 species
UGGGGAAUAUUGGACAAUGGGCGAAAGCCUGAUCCAGCCAUGCCGCGUGUGUGAAGAAGGUCUUCGGAUUGUAAAGCACUUUAAGUUGGGAGGAAGGGCAGUAAGCGAAUACCUUGCUGUUUUGACGUUACCGACAGAAUAAGCACCGGCUAACUCUGUGCCAGCAGCCGCGGUAAUACAGAGGGUGCAAGCGUUAAUCGGAAUUACUGGGCGUAAAGCGCGCGUAGGUGGUUCGUUAAGUUGAAUGUGAAAGCCCCGGGCUCAACCUGGGAACUGCAUCCAAAACUGGCGGGCUAGAGUAGGGCAGGGGGUGGUGGAAUUUCCUGUGUAGCGGUGAAAUGCGUAGAUAUAGGAAGGAACACCAGUGGCGAAGGCGACCACCUGGGCUCAUACUGACACUGAGGUGCGAAAGCGUGGGGAGCAAACAGG